UCAGAAUGUGCAGCUUUGUACCUAAGCUAGUUCCUGUCUCCUGAUUACCACUCUCGGACAGAACUUUCAGACUUUGGCAUGUAUCCACUGCACGAUAAUGCACGACUAAAUCUGCCAUGAGCUAGACCAAAUGAAUCAUACAGCCAUGCAGGAGAUUCCUGAACCUGAACGAACAACUGCCUUCGGCCACCGGUUCUUUCCCGGCG
rnacentral:lncRNA from 1 species